GGAGUUAGCCGGUGCUUCUUCUGUGAGUGAUGUCCUUCCUGCCGGCUAUUAACCCGCAGGCCUUCUUCCUCACUGAAAGUGCUUUACAACCCGAAGGCCUUCUUCACACACGCGGCAUGGCUGGAUCAGGGUUGCCCCCAUUGUCCAAUAUUUCCCACUGCUGCCUCCCGUAGGAGUCUGGGCCGUGUCUCAGUCCCAGUGUGGCUGAUCAUCCUCUCAGACCAGCUACGGAUCGUCGCCUUGGUGAGCCGUUACCUCACCAACCAGCUAAUCCGACAUAGGCUCAUCCGAUAGCGCGAGGCCCGAAGGUCCCCCGCUUUCCCCCGUAGGGCGUAUGCGGUAUUAGCCUGGGUUUCCCCAGGUUAUCCCCCACUACCGGGCAGAUUCCUAUGCAUUACUCACCCGUCCGCCGCUCGCCACCAGGGAGCAAGCUCCCCGUGCUGCCGCUCGACUUGCAUGUGUUAGGCCUGCCGCCAGCGUUCAAUCUGAGCCAGAAUCAAACUCUGA
rnacentral:rRNA from 1 species